UAAUACGGGGGGAGCAAGCGUUGUCCGGAAUUACUGGGCGUAAAGGGCGUGUAGGCGGGCUUGUAAGUCAGGAGUGAAAUUUGUCGGCUUAACCGACAAUCUGCUUCUGAUACUGCAGGCCUUGAGUAAGAUAGAGGAAAGUGGAAUUCCUGGUGUAGCGGUGAAAUGUGUAGAUAUCAGGAAGAACACCGGUAGCGAAGGCGGCUUUCUGGGUCUUUACUGACGCUGAGGCGCGAAAGCGUGGGUAGCAAACAGGAUUAGAUACCCUGGUAGUCCACGCCUUAAACGAUGAGCACUAGGUGUUGAAGGUUCGACCCCUUCAGUGCCGCAGCUAACGCAUUAAGUGCUCCGCCUGGGGAGUACGACCGCAAGGUUG
rnacentral:rRNA from 1 species